CGUUUGAUGAUGUCCCCCAUUCGGUGAAUAAAACCCUCCUUCUCCGAUGGCAGGAUGAAUUCACUUCGAACCUAGGAGAUAAUGAAGAAGAGUUUAAAAAGGAGUCACAAUGCUUAAUUCCGUUUUGUCUGAAGAAUAUGUCUACAGCAAAGUGCGACUUUAUGCAGAUGACUCCAAAAUCUACUCAGUUGGCUCUGGUCUAAGAUGAGCUUCAGGAUCUUUCAACUACUUCAAUCAUAACUGUGUGCCUUUAUUGGCUAAAUAUCCCUCAAAAGAAAGAUGUUGAUCUUUAGGAACUUCCUGGUUAGACAAGGAAAAC